rnacentral:rRNA from 1 species
UACGGAGGGAGCUAGCGUUGUUCGGAAUUACUGGGCGUAAAGCGCACGUAGGCGGCUUUGUAAGUUAGAGGUGAAAGCCCGGGGCUCAACCCCGGAAUUGCCUUUAAGACUGCAUCGCUUGAAUCCGGGAGAGGUGAGUGGAAUUCCGAGUGUAGAGGUGAAAUUCGUAGAUAUUCGGAAGAACACCAGUGGCGAAGGCGGCUCACUGGACCAUAACUGACGCUGAUGCACGAAAGCUAGGGGAGCAAACAGG